AUUGAACGCUGGCGGCGUGCUUAACACAUGCAAGUCGAACGGAGUGGCGAACGGGUGAGUAACACGUGGGUGACCUGCCCUGCACUUCGGGAUAAGCCUGGGAAAAUGGGUCUAAUACCGGAUAGUGUGGGAUGGGCCCGCGGCCUAUCAGCUUGUUGGUGGGGUAAUGGCCUACCAAGGCGGCGACGGGUAGCCGGCCUGAGAGGGUGGACGGGCACAAUGGGAAUGAGGCACGGCCCAGAGUGCGACGGGAGGCAGCGGGGGGGAAUAUUGCACAAUGGGCGGAAGCCUGAUGCAGCGACGCCGCGUGGGGGAUGACGGCCUGCGGGUUGUAAACUCCUUUCACCAUCGACGCGGUAGAUGGAGAAGAAGCACCGGCUAACUACGUGCCAGCAGCCGCGGUAAUUC
rnacentral:rRNA from 1 species